CUUAAGUGCCCUUCUAACAACUUUAUACGGAUAAGUUGACGAGUACACACCCGUAUAAGGGCUCUCAGAUCUGCCGCUACGGUGCUACUCUCUCCAGUAAACACCGACAACUACCCAUAACUUCCUCCUUCAGAUUCGUAACACCACCGACGCCCGACGGUAAUUUCCCUUUCUCGCUCUCUCAAUUGCUUUUGCAUGUUGUUCUCCUAGUAAAAGGGUUCGUCGAAGUAUGCGGUUCAAAUUGCCUUGGAAUUGAAAACCCUUCAUCUCCGAUUUGCCUCGUAUAGUUUGGUUCCAAACCCAUCCUCUCCCGAAGUCAAAACCUUCAAAAUCAAACUCCUCACCCUCCACUAUCCUUCCAAACUUCAGCUCCUCUUUAUUUGCAAACGCAUCUUUUGACUCUUCUCUUCUGGGUUUGACUUUGAAGGCUUCAAGAUCUCUAGGUCUGUGCCUUGGAAGGCUUCGAUUAUGGGUUCAAGUUGUCUACGUUUGCUAAUCAAGGUUUCGAUUUAUUCCCCCCAUCAGAAGACCGAUGAAUCCCGCUCUCAAGCAAGAUUUGGUAUUGGUACACAGGGGUAAUAUGCACCUACUAUUUCUGGACAACCACAGUAUAAAGGAAGGGACUUUGAUAUCACAGGAGAGGGUUAUGCAGUAUUUACAACUUUUGAAGAUUUGGGAAUAUCGGUCGAUGUCGUUGCUACCAGUGAAGUCAAUAUUUUCUUGACAUUGGACCCAUCAAAACUUUGGAGCAGGGAGCUUAUUCAGCAAGCAAGUGAACUUGACCAUGUUGUGGAAGAACUGAAGAAAAUUGUUGUCGUUCAUGAAUUAGAGGAUGAUCAUGGAAUUUGUUAGUAUAUUUGUGUUAAACUUUGUCAUUGGAAUAAGAGUGUAUGUAUAGUUGCAGUUGCAUAUACUGGAUUAUCUAAGUUCUAAGUAUGAAUUAAUAUGUUGUCAUGCUAGUUGUACUUUAAGGAUUGGUGUCCGUAUUGGGAUAUGUACUUCUGUUAUAUGUUCUCUAAGGUUCUCUAACUCAGAAUUUUACUUGUUAUUGUAUGUACUUACAGCUCCUUGGUGCUCUGGUAUUGUACCUUCUUUUAUUACUGUUGAAGAAGAAGGUUUUGUUGUUGCGUUGCUGGCUACAUAUAUGGGUUGGUUCCAAGUCUGGUCCUACUGUGAAGAACAAACGCUUGUCAACUUUUGUUGGGACGUAAGCUGGGAACUGUAGAGUGGUUAAGCUGCGUAGUUUAAUUUGCCGGCGAACUUUGUUGCAAAGGUUGUGUCAUUUAAAGCUAGAAGAAUUGCUUUGUGGAGUGGAAGUUUGUUCAAUGGGAGGAUUGAGUGAAGUGUUGUGACUGUUGUCGAUCGUUCGUAAUCAAGAAUGCCAGUAAGACUGUAAGGGUGGAGUUGUCAAAGACUCAAAGGUGCCUAGACCAGUCUUGCAGUCAUGAUAAAUGCUGCUUUUGGUUGGGUUUGCAGGGCUUCACUACUACAAAAGGGGGCAAAGCCCACGUUCUCACAAAAAAAUUAACUGAUUCGUGGGUUUAUUUCGCACGAAUGUGUAUCUGUGGUCAAUUAAUUCAAAGUCCCCACAUUUAACAUUAAU